GCUUAUCACCAUUCCAGAUUGAACAUACCCGAUCUCGUCUGAUCUCGGAAGUCAAGCAAUCUCGGGCUUGGUUAGUACUUGGAUGGGUGACCGCUUGGGAAUACCAAGUGUGAUGAGCA
rnacentral:rRNA from 1 species